ACGCUCUUCAUCUGCCAAACCUAAGCAAACAAUGUUCCAACACUCGCAGACACCUUUUUUGAAUCUACAUAUACAGCGUCCAUCAGUUCCAAAAUAUUCAAUCUCAAUCAACUUCAUCGAAGCCUUAGCUUAACAGUGAUCUUGAUCCACUCAUCAUAUCGAAAAUGGCUCAACUUUCCAAGGUCUCUGGUUUGUGGUGCAAGAUGCACAGAGAAGGCGACGAUGAUGAUGCAUAUACUUAUGUCCCAUGUGUACGAGGUGGUGGCGAUGAUGAUGACGGAGAUUAUGAUUAUGCUCCUGCUGCAUCUGAGGGCGACGAUGAUGACGAUGGUGGUUAUGAUUAUGCUCCUGCUGCUUAAGUACUAAGGGAAGAGUAGUAUCUAACAAAUUGUAUCGGCAUGCAAAUUGGAUUUUAUCUAAUUUUUUAACAUAGGUUUAUGUUGACUCAUGUCUUGGGUGGUGUAUCCGAUUAAUAUAUGACUAGCUCUCCAGAGUUUUUCAACAGAGAAAGUGUUUGUAUGGCGUUUUGUUGGACUUUCAGCAUUUUAUAAUGAAAUAUUAUUCAAUCUUUCUAUGUUUUUAUAUGGAGUAUUAUGGUGGUAUAAGUUAACUGAUUCUUUUACGGACUAUAAAAGACAAGCAAUAGUAAUUAAGCAUCUAGUUUGACAUCUACAUCCUCCAACAUUCAUGGACUCUGCGAAUGAGUUGUUAAGCCAAAUGGAAGCAGUGUAAAAUAAUUACGUACCCGAAUUGUACGAUUUAAUUGAGAUAGAAAGUGAACCUAAUGAUGAUAAGUUAGUAGAGUAAUGGCUGUUUUUAAUCUAGUGAUAGCUAGGUGCCCAAGUAGAGUAAUGGCCAUAUGUAAUCAGUCACUAGCUUAAGCAAACAAAUGAAGCUUUUCAUUUCGAAAUAACAAUUCUACUAAAUAGUAAUUACAGCAAAUGCAGAGAGACGCCAUGAAGAGGUUAUACAUAAUUCGACACUUCACUACCUAGCUAUAGUCCUGUGUUAGUGCAGACGGCAGUUAUAACCUAUAAUACAUCUUCUUGAUAUCAGAUGUAAACUAGCUAAUGUAAAUUAUGCGUGCGUUCAUCUGCCUCAGAUCUUUUUACAUCUACAGUUCGUCGUGUGUGCGUGUGGAGUAAUACACAGAGUGAGGCGAUCUUUAUUUGGGCUUCUGAUCAUUUCUUGGAUGCUGAGAUGUUUGACAGUAAUUAUCAUCAAGCUAAGUUGUAUGACUGCAAAUCUGCAAACUAAUUACUCUAUAAAUAUGUUUACAGUAUCUUACUAACAUAGUAGAGCCAUCCUGCAGCGGCUAAUUAAAACAGUUUCUGACUAAGCUAAAAAAAUUUUUGUUUGUGUGUCAAGUCAGAAAAUGAUGUGAAGUUCUCACGAGUUGGUUUGAGAUACUUUUUUGGUGGCUUAUUUUUUAAUUUCUGAUUAAAGUCAACCAUAAGUAAGUUAUUUAUAAGUGACUUUUAUAAUUAUUACUAUAUUUUUAAUAAUCCAUAAGUCAGUAUUAAAUCAAAAUUAUUCAAACAAACAUUUUAAUCUCCAAAUUAUCACAUUAAGUCACAUUAAUGAGUCAUAAUUUUAAACUUAGCAAAAAACGGAGUCUACAACAUGCGCUGAUAAUCAUAUACAAAGAUUUAUGUUAGAAUCAUAUAAAAUGCAAGUCAACCGAGUAGAUACAUGACAAAGUUCAGUUGACAGACACAAGUUAUUUUUAAACCAAAAAGUAGCAAGUUUUCUGCACCAGACCUCACUGGUUUUCAGGCAGUAGUCAGUAAUCACCUGAAUUUCCACUUCUCCGGCAUUUCAUGAAGCAAUUUCAAUUACAAGAACUGAAGUUAUUGCAUUUUCAACUUAAUCAAUGUUAACUGCAGCCGUUUUUACCAAGUCAGUUUGGCCCAUGACCCCAUGAGGCGACAUUUCAACAUUGAUCAGCGCGACCCGCAGCCGAAAGAGAAAAACGAUACCUCUCCACUAGCCACACAAAAACACACUUAAUUGCACUCAGACAUUCGAAUCUACGCUGAUGUGUCAUUUAUAUUCCAAUGUGGAAUAGCAAUAUUGUGUCACACAACCAUUCGCAUGGGGACUUCCACGCCCUACACACGCUCAUCGUCUGCCAAACCUAAGCAAAUAAUGUUUGAGCACUCGCACAGUCUCAGACACCCUUUUCUGCAUCUACAUAUACAGCGUCAAUCAGGGAAAAAAUAUUCAGACUCAAUCAAGUUCAUCGAAGCCUUAGCUUGCCAGCUGUGUUCUUGAUCCACUCCUCUAAGAGAUCAUCAUAUCGAAAAUGGCUCUCCUUUCCCAGGCCUCUGGUUUGUGGUGCAAGAUGCACAGAGAAGGUGACGAUGAUGAUGCAUAUACGAUGAUGAUGCAUAUACUUAUGUCCCGUGUGUACAAGGUCGUGACGGAGAUUAUGAUUAUGCUCCUGCUGCAUCUGAGGGCGACGAUGAUGAUGAUGGUGGUUAUGAUUAUGCUCCUGCUGCAUAAGUACUAAGGAAAGAGUAGUAUCUAACAAAUUGUAUCGGCAUGCAAAAUGUAUUCUAUCUAAUUUUAUAUGUUGGGAUAAGAGAUUAGAGUAAUAUUUUCGCUUAAUACAUAGGUUUAUGUUGACUCAGGUCUUGGGUCGUGAAUCCGAUUAAUAUAUGACUAGCUCUCCGGAGUUUUCGAACAGAGAAAGUGUUUGUAUGGCGUUUUGUUGGACUUUCAGCAUAUUAUAAUGAGAUAUUAUGCAAUCUUUCUAUGUUUUUAUAUGGAGUGUUAUGGUAGUUUAAGUUAACUGAGUCUUUUACGGACUAUAAAAGACAAGCACUAGGUAAUUAAGCCUCUAGUUUGACAUCCACAUCCUCCAACAUUCAUGGACUCUGCGAAUGAGUUGUCAAGCCAAAUGGAACCAGUGUAAAACAAUUACGUGUUGGGGUGCCCAGCAUCUCCCUAGCUCGAACCGUGGUGCUCACUACUACACUAUAAAGUAUAAAGGCAUAGUGGCGCCAUCUCCAAUAAGUAGCUGCUUUUCGUGUAGUGGUUAGCGUUAGGAUCCUAAAAUUUCGUACCCGAAUUGCACAAUUUAAUUGAGAUAGAAAGUGAACCUGAUGAUGAUAAGUUAGUAGAGGCUGUUUUCAGUCUAGUGGUAGCUGGGGGCCUAAUGCAGUUUAAAGAACCUGAAUUUACGUAGUCAUCAAGUGUCCAUGGAGAAAUUUAGUGCAGUGAUCAUAUCACUGCUGAUUUACAUGUGUAUAGCUCAGAGGAUAAUAUCAUAUCAGAGGCUAACUGUUAUGAUUUUAUUUAUUGGAAUGAGCAAUGGAAUUUCAGAAACCCUCUCUGCGGAUUAGGGGACUCUUUGCAAGGCCAAAUGACUACUGAUGGAGAGAUGACGAGUACAAUUCUGUCAAGCAUCGAUGAAACAUAUUUUCCAGUAUCACAAUGAACGAGGCUCUGAAAUCAUGUUUGGAACCGGUCAUCUAAAACAUUGAGGUAGUAAGGAAGACCCCAAAUGACUAUUAUGUUAUAUUUCAAUGGUAUAUAAAUAUCAUGCAGUGAUACUCAUCGUCAAACAAGCACGAGUCAUGACAAGGCAAGUUUAGAAUAUAAACAAAAAAUUAAUCAUUACAAGUACCAAAAAAAACCAAGCUAAUUGCACCAGGCCUCCUGGAAGCUAGUCUUUAGCAAGUUAUUUAGUUAUUGAAACAAAGAAAGCUAAUUGCAGACCAAAUGACUACUAACAGAGAUGACGAGUACAGUUCUGUCAAGCAUCGAUGGGAAAUAUUUUCCAGUAUCGCAAUGAGCGAUUGACAGAACUAAAUUGUUUUCGGUGUCCAACAACUUUUGUCGGUAUAAACUUGCUUUCGUUUCGUGUUUUUAAUAAAUUAUGAGAAUAUUGGUAAGGAGUUGAAUCACAGUCUCCUGUGAAUCCCGGCUUUGAUAUCACAUUAAGAACAGAUCUAUCUAAAAUUUUAAAAUAUCAGAGGAAGGUCCGAACAGAUCUUAUACUACUCCCUCUGUUUUUUAUAUGACGCUUUGAUUUUUUCACACUUUGACCGGGUAGUUAAAAAUAUUAUUUUUAAAAUUUUCUUUUUCUGAAUAAUAAUAUAUAAUCAAAAUUUUUAUUCAAAAAAUAAUAUUUUUAACUACCCGAUCAAAGCACUUAAAAGUGUGCACCAAAAAUCAAAGCGUUGUAUAAAAAAAAACAAAAGGAGUAUAUUCCAAUUAAUAUAUGGGCACAGAUUGAGAACAUUUAAUGUGCCUAGUUUUCUCUAGAUAAUGCACAUUACUCCCUCCGUCUCAAUUUAUAGGUCUAUUUUGGAAUAAACACACAUAUUAAGGAAAAAUGUUGGUUAGAUAGAAUCUUAUCUCAUGUAUCAUUAAUUAGUGCAUUGAUAAGUGAGAAUAUAGUUGAGUUUCAAAAAAAUCACAAUAAAUAUAGAGAUUUAGUGCAUUGAGAAAUGAGAAAAUGUUGAGUUUCAAAAAAAUCACAAUUAAUAUAUAGAUAAAUUUGUAUUGAAAGAAGUGAGGGACAAGUAUUUUGGGACAAUUUUUUUUCCCAAAAUGGACCUAUAAAUUGAGACGGAGGGAGUAUCACACACCAUGUAUCAAUUACUAAAUAGGAAUUCAAAUGUUCACAUUUAUUAAGUAAGUUUUAUAUUUUAUUUACUCUUAUAUUAUAUUAUCAUUAUAUUUUUUUAAUAAUAUUGAAUAAAAAAAUCAUAAAUUUAUUAUUAAAUAUUAAAUUAGCUAGUUUUAGUUAGAAGGCUGAUUUUAAUUAGAAUAUUAGUGUGCAUGUAGGGGGGCCUCGUUAUAAUUUGUUGGAUGAAAUUAAUUAAAAUUUUCAUAUAAAAUUUGAUUAAAAAAUUAUUCUAUAUUAUCUGACUUUUUUAAAAUAAAAUAAUAUUUUGUUAUAAAUAUAAAUUUUGAAGGAUAAAUCAAAAGUAAAUAUAUACUCCCUUUGUUUUAUUUUAUAUGACGUUUUGACUUUUGGCACACACUUUUAAGUGUUUUGACGGGGUAGUCAAAAAUAUUAUUUUUUAAAUUUUAUUUUUCUAGAGUAAUAAUAUAUAAUCAAAAUUUUUAUUUAGAAAAAUAAAAUUUUAAAAAUAAUAUUUUUAACUACCCGGUCAAAGCACUUAAAAGUGUGUGCCGAAAGUCAAAACGGUCAUAUAAAAAAAUUGGAAGGAGUAGUUAGUAUUUAUUAAAAUUUUGACUAAUUUCAUACAAAUACAUUAUACUCAUGCAAACUGAUGGAUAUUUAAUGAUAGCUAUUAUGAUUUAUCCUAGGGCAGUGGUUCCUGCAAGUAUGCGGUGAUACUCAUCGUCAAACAAGUACAAGUCAUGACAAGGCAAGUUUAGAAUAUAAACAAGAUCUUAACAAGUACCAACAAAGACCAAGCUAAUUGCACCAGGCCUCCUGGAAGCUAGUCUUAGCAAGUUAUUUUCUUAUUGAAACGAAGAAAACUAAUAGCAUCAAGCUUCCAGUAACGCUUCCAGUAAGAAGGCUUCCUAGCUUUCUUUUGAUAAUUAUCACCACUUGGACUCCCAUAUCUAAAAGCCAAAGGCAUUUUUCAUAUAUUCGAUUUUCAAUUGUCGCCACAAAGUAGAAAGAUCUUCACUUUCUCAGCUAGGCCCCAACUGCCCCCAUGCAUAUAUAGGCGCAGAUCUGUUUAUACUUUUAACAUCUGUGUUGACAUGUUAUUCCAAAAUGCCUAUUUGGCUUCGCAACAGAUGAUACCAUGUUGUUGCAUCCGCUUAUACACAUCCUGCAGCCGUUGUUCCACACUCUUCUUGUGCUGGACUUGUGGACUCAACUUUAGCAUCUUCUUUCACCAUUAAAUUUCCAACGUGGAAUAGCAAUAUUGUGUCACACAAGUACAUGCAAGGGUGGAUCUAGUAAGAGGCACGUGUGCUCUUUGACUUUUUUUUAAACAUGUUUUGACCGUUCUUAAUUUUACAAAAUUAUAUAAUUGCCCAUACAAAAUUUGAAAAUGUACAGGUGUUUUUCGAAAAUGUGUUUUGUAUCCCAGUAAAGAAAAUAAUCUUAGAUCCUUCACUCAGUACACGCAUUAGGUUUCCACGGCCCUCCAGACAUUUACCCACGUCCGCCCUGUGCCGAACUCGAGGAAAUAAACCUAAAACACUCGCAAGCUUUUCACAUCUAUAUAAACAGCUUCAUUCACUUCCAAAAUAUUCAAACUCAACCACAUUCAUCAUUAACAAUUUCAUACCCUAGCUAGCUUGCUAGUGUUCGUCCACUCCUCAGAGAGAUCGUAUUGAAAAUGGCUCUGGUUUCCAAGGCCUCUGGUCUGCGGUGCAAGAUGCACAAAGAAGGUGAUGAUGAUGAUGCAUAUACUUAUGUCCCCUGUGUUCAUGGUGGUGGUGAUGACGAUGAUGGAGAUUAUGAUUAUGCUCCUGCUGCGUCUGAGGGUGACGAUGAUGACGAUGGUGGUUAUGAUUAUGCUCCUGCUGCUUAAGUAAUAAGGGAAGAGUAGUAGUAGUAUCCGACAAAUUACGUGUCUGCACCUCAUGCAUAUCGGUAUGCAUGUAUCUAAGCUAAUUUUUUAUGUUGCGAAUAGAGAUCUUAUGAGAGAAAUAUUUUUGCCUCAUGUGGAUCCGAUUAAUAUAUGACAAUGAUCUGAAUUUUAUAUGCCAGUAAAAGUGCUUCUAUGUCGUUUUGUUGUGCCUUGUGCAUUUUAUAAUGAGCUAUUAAUAAAUCUUUCUACUGAUUAUUAAAGACAAGCAAUAAGUAAUUAGGUCUCAAACUUGACAUCAACCC
rnacentral:lncRNA from 1 species